CAGGCAGCACAGACCCAAGGGUGAUGCUGGCAACUGCACGUGGGGACGUUGCUGGACUUAACUCUUCUUUUGCUCAUGCCCUGUGGGGCCUGCAGGCCUGUCCUGUCUGAGCAGCCCGGGGCUGUGGGCAAGGAGCCCAGGGCAGGCUCUGGGUGCAGAGAGACUGGAGUCAGGGCUGGAAAUAAUCCAGGGUGCAGGGGCUGGAGAGGUCACGGCUGAGCCCUGAGGGUGCCUCGGUGCCUGUCCUUGGAGCCGGGGAGAGGAGGAAUGCCCAUUGGAUCACUCCUGGCGGCCUGGCAUGUUCCGGGGAAGAGGAGGAGGCAGGAGCCUAUUUCUAAUCUGGAAGAAAAUACAUCAGGAUAGGCCUCAACACAAGCUACUGGUUCUGCAAACCAAGGGAAACAGGCUCAGGACCGGACACAUUUGGAGAGAGGCCAUGGGGCCUGGUAGGGAGUUGCCGGAGCCCAGGUCCUCCUCCCAGCUCUGCUGAAACCUCUCCAGGUGACCCUGGAAAAAUUCCUCUCGGCUCCUGUCUCGUCAGAUGGAAAUUAGCCUGUGGGACCCUAAGAGUCUGAGGGUGUCUUCUGGCUUGAGGAGCCCGGGGCCCCCAGAUUCCACUGCAGGUGGA